UACGGGGGGAGCAAGCGUUGUCCGGAAUCAUUGGGCGUAAAGCGCGUGUAGGCGGCCCGGUAAGUCCGCUGUGAAAGUCGGGGGCUCAACCCUCGAAUGCCGGUGGAUACUGUCGGGCUCGAGUACGGGAGAGGCGAGUGGAAUUCCUGGUGUAGCGGUGAAAUGCGCAGAUAUCAGGAGGAACACCAAUUGCGAAGGCAGCUCGCUGGAACGGUACUGACGCUGAGACGCGAAAGCGUGGGGAGCAAACAGG
rnacentral:rRNA from 1 species